GCAAUUCACUCGGCGAAAUCGCGGACUCUUUUGACCCUUCCGGGCUACCAUUUACUUUCUAAAGAGGGGCGGGACUUCCUGUUUCGCUUUUCUCUGUAGGACUGACUUCCGGCCUUCAAGGGCAAGCAGGGUAUAUACGGUCUCGCUCUUCCGCCCAGUCUUGAGUGCAGUUGUGAGAACACGGUUUACUGCAGCCUCAAAAUCCUGGACCCAAAAGAUCCUCCCACCUCAGCCUGCCUCCCAGGUAGUUGGGACUACAGGCGCACAACACCAUCGCUUCUUGGAUUAAAAGAAAAGGAUGAAACGGGCCCCAGAAAGAGGCGGUGACGUCCCAGAACCCAUGGCAGGGGAGUUGGGAAAAUAAAUAUUUGUAUUGUUAUU